CGGCGUGCUUACCAUGCAAGUCGAACGGUGAAGCCAAGCUUGCUUGGUGGAUCAGUGGCGAACGGGUGAGUAACACGUGAGCAACCUGCCCUGGACUCUGGGAUAAGCGCUGGAAACGGCGUCUAAUACCGGAUAUGAGCUGUGACCGCAUGGUCGUAGUUGGAAAGAUUUUUUGGUCUGGGAUGGGCUCGCGGCCUAUCAGCUUGUUGGUGAGGUAAUGGCUCACCAAGGCGUCGACGGGUAGCCGGCCUGAGAGGGUGACCGGCCACACUGGGACUGAGACACGGCCCAGACUCCUACGGGAGGCAGCAGUGGGGAAUAUUGCACAAUGGGCGGAAGCCUGAUGCAGCAACGCCGCGUGAGGGACGACGGCCUUCGGGUUGUAAACCUCUUUUAGCAAGGAAGAAGCGAAAGUGACGGUACUUGCAGAAAAAGCGCCGGCUAACUACGUGCCAGCAGCCGCGGUAAUACGUAGGGCGCAAGCGUUAUCCGGAAUUAUUGGGCGUAAAGAGCUCGUAGGCGGUUUGUCGCGUCUGCUGUGAAAUCUGGGGGCUCAACCCCCAGCCUGCAGUGGGUACGGGCAGACUAGAGUGCGGUAGGGGAGAUUGGAAUUCCUGGUGUAGCGGUGGAAUGC
rnacentral:rRNA from 1 species